rnacentral:rRNA from 1 species
CGAGUUAUCUGACCUUCGGGGGACGAUAACGGCGUCGAGCGGCGGACGGGUGAGUAAUGCCUAGGAAAUUGCCCUGAUGUGGGGGAUAACCAUUGGAAACGAUGGCUAAUACCGCAUGAUGCCUACGGGCCAAAGAGGGGGACCUUCGGGCCUCUCGCGUCAGGAUAUGCCUAGGUGGGAUUAGCUAGUUGGUGAGGUAAGGGCUCACCAAGGCGACGAUCCCUAGCUGGUCUGAGAGGAUGAUCAGCCACACUGGAACUGAGACACGGUCCAGACUCCUACGGGAGGCAGCAGUGGGGAAUAUUGCACAAUGGGCGCAAGCCUGAUGCAGCCAUGCCGCGUGUGUGAAGAAGGCCUUCGGGUUGUAAAGCACUUUCAGUCGUGAGGAAGGUAGUGUAGUUAAUAGCUGCAUUAUUUGACGUUAGCGACAGAAGAAGCACCGGCUAACUCCGUGCCAGCAGCCGCGGUAAUACGGAGGGUGCGAGCGUUAAUCGGAAUUACUGGGCGUAAAGCGCAUGCAGGUGGUUUGUUAAGUCAGAUGUGAAAGCCCGGGGCUCAACCUCGGAAUUGCAUUUGAAACUGGCAGACUAGAGUACUGUAGAGGGGGGUAGAAUUUCAGGUGUAGCGGUGAAAUGCGUAGAGAUCUGAAAGGAAUACCGGUGGCGAAAGGCGGCCCCCUGGACAGAUACUGACACUCAGAUGCGAAAGCGUGGGGAGCAAA